AGUGAACGCUGGCGGUAGGCCUAACACAUGCAAGUCGAACGGCAGCACAGUAAGAGCUUGCUCUUACGGGUGGCGAGUGGCGGACGGGUGAGGAAUACAUCGGAAUCUACUUUUUCGUGGGGGAUAACGUAGGGAAACUUACGCUAAUACCGCAUACGACCUACGGGUGAAAGCAGGGGAUCUUCGGACCUUGCGCGAUUGGAUGAGCCGAUGUCGGAUUAGCUAGUUGGCGGGGUAAAGGCCCACCAAGUCGACGAUCCGUAGCUGGUCUGAGAGGAUGAUCAGCCACACUGGAAGAUAGACGCGGUCCAGACUCCUACGGGAGGCAGCAGUGGGGAAUAUUGGACAAUAGGCGCAAGCCUGAUCCAGCCAUACCGCGUGGGUGAAGAAGGCCUUCGGGUUGUAAAGCCCUUUUGUUGGGAAAGAAAAGCAGCAGGUUGAUACCCCGCUGUUCUGACGGUACCCAAAGAAUAAGCACCGGCUAACUUCGUG
rnacentral:rRNA from 1 species